AGAAGAAUAAGCCGAGUUGGUCUAUCGGCAGCGCACUUGAAAUGCGUCAAUCCUUAAAAGGGUGUGUGAGUUCGAGUCUCACUUCUUCUG
rnacentral:tRNA from 1 species